GCGACGCGAGCUUUGCUCGCUAUAAUCAAUGUCAUGAUCAUGUGCAGGAUUGGACAAAACAAGAUGGCAGACGGCAUUUCCAAACAAAGAUCCAGUCAGGAGCGGACUUCCUUAAGCUUAAAAGUUGCAAGUGAAUGAAGUGUGUUCUAUUUUAUGUCUCCUACUACAACCAUGGUUUUGACAAACCUAAAAGAGCACGUGGAGCAAGGAACUAUCAGUAAGCCGGAAGAGCCAGCUCGAAAAUCUUGUAAGUGUUUGAGAAUUUCACCGUGCACAUGAAUCUAAAGUUCUGCCACACGUUAGAAGGAGCCUUGUUCUCGAAGAUCAACAUGUUGAAAAGUCUUCAUUUUGCAGAAGCAAAUACAUUUAUAGUGCAUAUACACAUGUAGACCAUGUUCGAUUCCCAACCACUUAACAUUUGUGAUAUCUGCAUGGAAUUAUUAAAACUGAGCAUGGUUUGACGUAUAAUAAUCUCUUCAGGCAUGAUGGUUUACAUUUCACAAAGCUGUUCAAUGACAAUAAAGACUAUAAGAUGU